CAUGGAACGGAUAAGCGCUGAAAGCAUCUAAGCGCCAAGCCUUUCCCAAGAUAAGAUCUCCCUAUAGAACCCAGGUAGACCACCUGGUUGAUAGGUCGCAGGUGUAAGCGUAGCGAUACGUUGAGCUUAGCGAUACUAAUGUUCGAUUGAUCU
rnacentral:rRNA from 1 species